rnacentral:lncRNA from 1 species
CCGAUUUUCCAGGCGCCGUCCGUCACAGCUUUCUUUGACUCGGAAAGGGAACUCCCUGACCCCUUGGGCUUCCCGAGUGAGGCAAUGCCUCGCCCUGCUUCGGCUCGCGCACGGUGCGCGCACCCACUGACCUGCGCCCACUGUCUGGCACUCCCUAGUGAGAUGAACCCGGUACCUCAGAUGGAAAUGCAGAAAUCACCCGUCUUCUGCGUCGCUCACGCUGGGAGCUGUAGACCGGAGCUGUUCCUAUUCGGCCAUCUUGGCUCCUCCUCGAAAUGGCAACGCAUAUGGCUAAUAAAACAUAUUGAGGAUGAAUGAGAAAACAACCUGGUUCCUGGAAGGAGAGAAACAAGGUGGAGUCUUCUCACAGAAACAAGGAGAAGGUCAGAGAGACCUCCGGGAGCAUCUCAUCUUGGAGACACCACAAGCUCAAGAGGCUGCAUUAGCGUUUUUUAUUGGAGGCAUUUUCUUUUCCUCCAGAUUUUGUUUUUGACUGUUAAGGUCAUAGCUACAAACAAUUGAUCAAGCCUAAAAGGGCAUUUAUAAACCACCUGCAUCUACAUUUUUUUCUUACUGUGGAUGGAUUUAAAAAGCCGUUUCAAGAUGAAAUCUUAUGAGUCAUUAUCAUGUCUUCUGAGGGCUGAGAUAUAACUUUGAAGUAGAGCCCAAACAUGAAGAUCAUGAAGAUGGCUUCUUCUCCAAAUGAUGUUAUCUUAAAAACUUGAAAAAGACAAAAAAAAAAAAAAAAAAAAAGAAGAAGAAAAAGAAAAAAGAAAGAAAAAAAGAGAGAGCGAGCCAAGGGAACUUGAAUCAGACAAACCUGGUUCAAAGUGAUUAUUCAACAAAUGUAAGCUGUUAUCAUCUUGUCCUCCAUCAUUCAAAUAUGUCCUGUAUAGAUCUUCCAUUAAUUUCAAAUAUCUAAUGAUCUACACCAUCAAAUAUUAUGAAGGUGAUGUUUAGCAGGUCAUUGGCUAAGACAGGCUCUACCUCAGUCUCUAAUAGAGAAGGAAAGACAAGUAGCAUUUACUAACACCCACAGUAUGCUUCAUAUUGUUGCCAGAAAUUUCAAAUGCACCAUCUAUUGAUGCAUGGAAUCCUUUCAACAUUCUUAGAAGACAAGACCUCCACCCUCUGCAAAACAUCUUCCCAGGAUUAUGGGAAGUGCCCAAGAUGUGGUCACGGGUGUACCACAGCCAGUUGGCUUCUGUGGUACUCUGCCGCUGCGCCUGCCUCCACUUCUGUGGUUCAUCCCCAACUCCCAUGGAAGUUGGAGCACUUUCACGGAACCCUGCGGUUCUUUCCAACAUGCAGCAGCCACCAGCCACAGUCACCUGCAACCACAAAUCAGCAAAGCCCCACAGCCCCGAAUCUCCACUGAGGUUUGUAAUGAAGUGGGACUUCAAGUUUAAGUCUUUCUCCGAGGCUAUUACGGCCUGCCAGUAGGGGCUCUCCAUGUGCACUGCUCAAACCAUUAUGCUCUAUAACUGUUUUCAGUGUAAGGCUCUUUACGCUUUGUUAGUAAUCUCUUGCUCUCCGGAGCCCAGAGAGUGACAGAUUCGUAACAGACCCCUGUUCACUCCUCGUUGCCUCUCCCCUGUGCUGAGAGGGCUUCUCAUUGGCUCAGGUGCAUCCCCUGUGCUGCUUCUCCCCUCAGGAUGCCCUCUUCAUCUAGAGGUUUCUCCAGGGAACCUGCCUGGCUCACUCACCUAACAAGCUAAGAAAUGUCUGAACCGUCUUUAAAUUCAAGCCAGGAGCCUAGAAGUAGUCCUAGGGAAAACGAAACAAAACAAAACAAAACAAAACAAAACCAACAAACAAACAAACACGACUGGAAAGAAAUACAUGGAGAAGUUAACAGGAGGGCUCCUUGGAGAGAUGGUUAAUUCUGGGGCUGGCCUGGGAAGGAUGAGAUGAGGCUGAAGCACCUUGCUGUGCCGGAACAUCAGGACGUGCUCAAAAAGUGAUGAGGCCAGGGCCUGAUGGAAGAGGCUCCCAGCAACCAAACCUGCCAAGGUUUGAGCACCAAAAAAACAGCAACAGUGAUUCUAUAACCCAUGAGAAUAAAAGAAUCAGUCCAUGAUGACAUAGGUAAGUAAAUAAAGAGAAAUACAUAGAAAGCUUCUUUUUACAGUAGAAUUUCAACUAAUAAAUAUCCAAGAGAUGAUGGGGAAAAUGUUGAAGUGGUUUAUCACAUAGAUGAGACCAUGGAUUUUUUUUCUUUUUUCUGAUCACCCUUUCUAAUUAUUUUUAUUUUUUUGCAAUGAAUAAUUGCUUGUAUAAUAAAAAUGCAAAAAGUCACCUGCAGUAGAUCGCCUGUGAAGUUAUAUUCUUAUUGUAUCUCUCAUGAGCGACAUUUGUCUCCUACUUUUAUGCUAAUGAAUUUUUGAUAGGCCCUAUCUUGCAUUUCUUUUUCCUAUUUACGUAUUUUAGAAAGAGGACAGCACAGGUGCUUCCCAGCAGGGCCACCCUGCACAAAGGCACCCAGUAGGCUGCAGAGUGAGGCUGAAAGUUAACCCCUGAUCUUUGCGUUAAACUGUGACGACUGGUGCACGGUUGCAUCUGCCCAUAAGGCCACUGUUUCCUAACUCACACAUGAUUCUGUCCUAGCUGCUGUGUCCUUCAAAAUAGUCUGUGUGGGUUUACCUGGUUGCUGCUAGAAUUCUUCUUUUUGAUCUCAAGGUCAAAGCCUGGUGGCAUGAACAGCAUUACCUGUUCAGCCGUGCGUCACUAAAGGUGUGAGGAGGUUGAGAUCAAGAGCAGUCUAGUUAGGAAGUGUCAUCUCUUCAAGUUUCCUCCCCUGAGUUUGUUGAACUUGCAGGGCAUGAGGUCACCUUCCUCAUCUGAUUUUCCCAUUCUCUAUUCCAAAUACAUGGCAUGGCUGUGGCCAGAUUCUUGCCACUCUAGGAGGUGAGUGGAAGGAUGUCCAGUUGCUUUAGGAAACUGUUCUUCCAUCACUGAGAAGCCAGGCCAGCUCACAAUUUAUGUUUCAUGAGGAUUACUUGUUCUUUCAGAAGUCACUGACAAAUGUUGGUCCCUACUGGCAAUGAGGUAGCUCUGCAUCUUUUCUCAGAACCACUCUGACAGGUAACUCUUGCCUCUCUCUAAUUCAGAGAUGUUGGUGAAAUACUCCUCUGCUCCGUUUACUCUGCAUCACUUUCUAGGAAAGAAAAGUGAUGAGUCAGCUCUUGACACUGUGCCUUCAGUGUGAUCCCCCUACAUUCUAGAAAACAGCAAUGCCUCAAAGCUGAUUCUCAACGCUGCUACAGGCUUUUUCUCUAUUUGGGGUUUCUAUUGAUUCUUUCCGUCAUUAUCUUUCCUAAAAGGGCAGCGUAUAAAGGGGAAUAGUUGCACAAAGGGGUAUUUUAAGAAUAAUUCGCCUUUAGGUGUGUGCUUCCAGAAGACACUGGUGGAGAAACUACUUCUGUGGGAGAAAAAGUACAGUGGCCUCUAGGGUGAGAACUCAAGGUGUCAGCAGCACCUACAUAAAGCAAGACACCAGCCAUGUGCCACCACACUGCCACCAGGAGACAGGUCCUGCUUGUGUUGAUCCCUGGUGACAUGACCAGAACCAAAACAAACGAACAAACAAACAAACAAACAACCUUAAAGUAGGUAAAGAUCUUGAAGGUGGCAAAAUGAUGCCAAUCCAAGAAGAAACCAAUUCCUAAUGUGAAAUGGAUACACUGACCCUGCCAACCAAGGGCAUUGUCUUUCCCAGUUUGAACAAAACCACAAUCCAUUAACUCCAGUAUUGAUGAUUUUCUUCUAUUCUAGGCCCUGAGCUCUUUUUGGGUCAACUGCAGCUGCAACUCUAGAGCGACAAUAAGGAUGUGUUUGAGGUGCUGAGGGAGGAGGAGGAUGGAGUGAGAAGGUGACAACAUUCAGCCAGGUGCCCCCAAAACAUGGAGGCAAGAGAAAGAGAAUUUGUCCAAGUGCAAGGUCUGCAGGCAGUGCAGGGCAGCUACCAGCAGGGCCCAUUUUUAUGGGAUUGUGAAAGGUGAUUCUGGAAAGGCAGGCAGCAGCUACAACAUGAAAGAUCUUUGGACUGUGUCUGUAUAUGAUAAGAAGUCAAAGAAGUAUCUUUAAAACAAGAGGAGCAAAGAGAGCUCAUCCUGGUAACAGAUGGAGGGUUAGGCUUGCCUAAGUUUACAGAAGUAGGUAAUGACAGGGCUAAGAGAGAACUCAGCUCAUUUUAAUUCCAUAUUGCUUAUCUUUCUCUUGUGCUUUGCAGUGUGUGUGUGUAUGUGUGUGUGUGCGUGUGUGUAGGGAGGAGGGGUGAGAUUGGCAAAAGUUGAGCCAGAUUAUACUGAUUAAUUAGUUCAACACCCAUUUUGCUGAGAGCAUACCGUGCCCACAGUGCUGAGUUGAGCAAACUUAAGAGGUGAUAUGAAAGGAGCAAAAGUGCUUAAAAAUCUGGGAAAGGGUAUCCAUCCCUGGUGCAUUGGUUUUGAUUAUUCCUCAGCUAUAUAAACAUCCAAAGAGAUGACCUCAUAUAUUCCACAGGCAUGACCGAAGAUUAUGGCACAGAUGUUCUGAAAUAAACAAUGUUAGUGCAAGCACAUAGCUGCACAGUCCUGUAAUGGUCCCGAGAAGAGCUUAGACCAUUUUUUUAAAAAACAUAAACCACAAGUUAAGGCUAAAUCAGAAAGAAAAUAGAAACCUUUCUUCAUCUGCUCUGUUCUUGGUUUCAUGUUUUAUAGAUGGCCUGGGAAGCCCUCUGCACGCCUUUCUCAACUAAGGAAUUUGUGGAAGUAGAAUUUCUUCUGUUGACAGAAUUCUGCUGAGAACUGAAUUUUCUGCUGUUUUCAUUACUCUUUUCUAAAUGUUUCACAGUUCUGUUUUUUUUACAGCCAGAUUUCCAUUUGAUACUGGUUGUGGUUACACUAAAAGUAACAUCUAUGGCCAAAUGGCUGGAAAUUUUACAUUUUUGACACCGAGAUUUUUCCUGUACUUCACGGAGGGCAAGGGUUAUACCCUAUUUUUUCCCAGUCUCCCACAGUGCCCAACCCAGACGACCGUACAUAAUAAGCGCUUUAUUCUCAGCACUGCUGUAUGCCUCAUUGGAACAGGAUGCCCAAGGUGAUGGCUGCAGAAAUGGAUGGAUUGGAGCGUGACUUGCCAAGACAGGUAUGUAGAAAUUAUUGUGGAGUGACGUGGCAUGAUCUCAGCUUACUGCAGCCUCAACCUCCCGGGCACAGGUGAUUCUCCAACCUCAGCCUUGGAGUAGCUGGGACUAU